UACGUAGGGUGCAAGCGUUGUCCGGAAUCAUUGGGCGUAAAGCGCGCGUAGGUGGCCAUUUAAGUCCGCUGUGAAAGUCAAAGGCUCAACCUUUGAAAGCCGGUGGAUACUGGAUGGCUAGAGUACGGAAGAGGCGAGUGGAAUUCCUGGUGUAGCGGUGGAAUGCGCAGAUAUCAGGAGGAACACCAAUGGCGAAGGCAGCUCGCUGGGACGUUACUGACACUGAGGCGCGAAAGCGUGGGGAGCGAACAGG
rnacentral:rRNA from 1 species